rnacentral:lncRNA from 1 species
GUUAAUAUGUUUUUCAUGGAAAUUGGAAGCUUUUUAGCAUAAUUUUUAAAAUUAGUAUUUUUUUAGUUAAUGGACCGGGCAAACCUGUAUGAGAGCAAGUAUGAGUAAUGUAUAAUAGAUAAUUUUUACUUUUGAUGACUUGUUUUAAUUGUAUAAAUAACAAGGUUAAAUUUGAGUUAUCGGGUACAAAUUUAAUUAUCUCUAUAUGUAAAACAACUCCUUUUUGCAUAUAAAGAAUUAGUAAUUAAAGUUAAGAGAUUCAGGAUAAUCUAAUAAUACCGUAAGUAUUACAUAUAAUUUUGAUUUUUGAACUGAUGUAUAUGGAAUUUUGAUCACCUUAUUUUGUCUGACUUGCAAUCUAUCAUACCCAUUUUGUAUGUAUCAGUAUAAAAUGUUGGUGCCUUGGGAAUUGGUGUUUUUUUUUUUUUUUUACAGUAUGUGGACAAAUGUCUUUUUUAUAAACUGUAUACAUUUACUUUUUGAAUAAUUGUUAGUAAUUUUACCCAAGGACUUGUUAUCAGUUCUUUGUCAAUUUUUAUUGAUCACCCAUAAUGACAUAAUCUUAUAAUUUGUAAGAGUAACUACAAUUUUGGCCGGAUCUGUUUCUGAUAAUUAAAAUAAUUUUAUUUUACCUUUUAUAAUUAA